rnacentral:rRNA from 1 species
GAUGAACGCUAGCGGCAGGCCUAAUACAUGCAAGUCGAACGGGAUCCAGAUCAAAGCUUGCUUUGGUCUGGUGAGAGUGGCGCACGGGUGCGUAACGCGUGAGCAACCUACCCUUGUCAGGGGGAUAGCCCGGCGAAAGUCGGAUUAAUACCGCAUGACAUCAUUGAGAGGCAUCUUUCGAUGAUCAAAGAUUUAUCGGACAAGGAUGGGCUCGCGUGACAUUAGCUAGUUGGUAAGGUAACGGCUUACCAAGGCUGCGAUGUCUAGGGGCUCUGAGAGGAGAAUCCCCCACACUGGUACUGAGACACGGACCAGACUCCUACGGGAGGCAGCAGUAAGGAAUAUUGGCCAAUGGACGGAAGUCUGAACCAGCCAUGCCGCGUGCAGGAGGACGGCCCUAUGGGUUGUAAACUGCUUUUAUACGGGAACAAACGUCGGUACGUGUACCGGUCUGAGUGUACCGUAAGAAUAAGAAUCGGCUAACUCCGUG